rnacentral:rRNA from 1 species
UGGCUCAGAAUCAACGCUGGCGGCGCGCUUAACACAUGCAAGUCGAACGAGAAAGGGGAGCAAUCCCUGAGUAAAGUGGCGUACGGGUGAGUAACACGUGGGUAAUCUACCUCUUAGUGGGGGAUAUCCCUGGGAAACCGGGGUUAAUACCGCAUAAGCUCUUGAGAGGAAACGGGAAACCGGCUGAGAGAGGAGCCCGCGGCCGAUUAGCUAGUUGGUAGGGUAAAGGCCUACCAAGGCCAAGAUCGGUAGCCGGCCUGAGAGGGCACACGGCCACACUGGCACUGAAACACGGGCCAGACUCCUACGGGAGGCAGCAGUGGGGAAUCUUGCACAAUGGGGGAAACCCUGAUGCAGCGACGCCGCGUGAGCGAUGAAGCCUUCGGGGUGUAAAGAUCUUUCGACGGGAACGUAUAAUGACGGUACCGGAGAAAAAGCUGCGGCUAAACUUACUGUGC